rfam:Picea glauca, whole genome shotgun sequence.
GCACCAGUGGUCUAGUGGUAGAAUAAUACCCUGCCACGGUACAGACCCGAGUUCGAUUCCUAGAUGGUGCA